rnacentral:rRNA from 1 species
UACGUAGGGCGCAAGCGUUGUCCGGAAUUAUUGGGCGUAAAGAGCUCGUAGGCGGUUUGUCGCGUCUGCUGUGAAAACUCCAGGCUCAACCUGGGGCUUGCAGUGGGUACGGGCAGACUAGAGUGCGGUAGGGGUGACUGGAAUUCCUGGUGUAGCGGUGGAAUGCGCAGAUAUCAGGAGGAACACCGAUGGCGAAGGCAGGUCACUGGGCCGCAACUGACGCCGAGGAGCGAAAGCAUGGGGAGCGAACAGG